rnacentral:tRNA from 1 species
UAUUUAUUAGUUUAAAAAAAACAUUAUAUUUUCAAUAUAAAAUUAAAAUUUAUUUUAUAAAUAAUGAAAUUAUUUU